AUGAAGAGAGGGCGGGAUCAGUGAAAACCACGUGAUCAUCCACGCGAGCGGUCCAGAGUCGCUGAGACAACCGGAACUGCUGAAGCCGGAGAAUUCGAGAUAACACGGUGUGCAGCUGGAUGAACACAGCAGGUCAAGCUGUAUCAGAGGAGUAGGAAAGCUGGCGUUUCGGGCCUAUAUCCUUCGCUGAGACCAAGAUUUGUGCAAUUGAGAUACCAGCAAUCGUCGCCAAAGCCCUGUUGCCUGUGGAGAAGGUUAACUUUCGUGUCCUACUGCAGUUUGUAUGAUGAAGGUGCUCCCACAAUGCGGCCAUUUGAGAAGUUAUAGAUCAUUCAUCUAGCAAUACUGGAGAGCUAAUGGUAUUUCCACAAUUUUACUCCUGCACUGUUCUUAGUCUUUCGAUCCCUCUGAAAGACUGAGUUACAGAUCUAUACAAUGCCUGUCCUUCCUCCCUGGCUCUCCCACCUCUCUUUCAGGAGUUUUGUGCAAACACUGACUGGAUCCCUUACCUGGAGGAUAUUUAUUUAUGAAUUUGUUCUAAUGAUAAUCCAGCAUAUUCCCCAAGUGUCGCUCCACAAAUGUCCAGAGGAUUUCUCAGUUUCACAAUCUGUGUGUUCUUCUGGUUCCUCGCUUACUGCACUUGCUCUCUGUUUGAAAGCUUCGUCUACAGUUGGAGAAUUCAAACAGGAACACAUCCAGAUCUGACAGUCACUUUGUUUAUCACAACUCAAUUACCUCAGGAUUUUGAACACUGAAGGAAAAAGCAGUUCUCACAGCAGGGAGAAAUGCACAUGAUCUGUGAAGAUUCAUCUGAAAUGUCCUUACACCAGCUCAGUGACACAGAGAGACUAUUCACCUGCUCUAAAUGUGGGAAAGCAUUCACUCAGUCAUCCAAACUGCUAACACACCAGUGAGUUCACAAAGAAGCACAGCUGAAGGAUUUUGCUGUCACUCUCACUAUCAAAUGAACCAUGGUUUUGGGCUGUUUGUACUGAUGUUACUGAUCCCAGUUCAAUUAAAGGUACUGGUGUUGUGGAUAAAAUGUUAAUAUCAGUUGUGUAUCUGUAAGGUAGAGCUUGGAAAUAGUCAAGUUGUCAUGACACAUCGACACAUUCACACUGACGAAAGACUAUCCACCCGCACAGUACGUGAAAAGGGAUUUCCUGGUUCAUCAGGACUGGUUAACUAGCAGCAAAUUUCUGAGUAACUGUGAAGUUGGUUUUUGAUUCUGCUGUUAGCUUAUACUAACCAUGUUUUUUGGGCUUGCUUCUGGAGACCAUAGGAUCCCUCCGGUGUGGAAGCAGACCAUUUAGCCCAUCAAGUCCACACUGAACUUAUGAAGAGUCUCUUACCCAUACCCUGCCUGCGUGGGUUUCCUCCAGGUGCUCUAGUUUCCUCCCACAGUCCAAAAAAUAUGCAAAUUGGGUAGAUUGACUAUGCUAAAUUGCCCAUAGUGUCACGUAUGCAAAAUGCAAGGACAGAGUAGGGUGUGAGACUGGGUGGGAUGCUCUUUGGAGGGUUCGUGUGGACUCAGUGGACUGAAUGGCCGUCUUCCACACUGUAGGAAUUCUAUGAUGAUCUCGAUGGCCCUUUAUUUGUUAGUUAUGCUUGGUCAACAUGUCUGCACACCUUUACCAUUACAGAUUCUAUUGCUCUCCACAGACAUGUUUCAAUUUUUAAUAGAUAUUUGUUUAUUGGAAACAAUGCAAUCUUUCCUUUUGAUUUUCAUCCACAAAAUGAAAGUUUUAAAUCGAAACAAAAGAUUGGGAUGAGUCCUGUACUAUAAUCCCUGAUUGGGAAAAUGCAAUCAGCUAUGAAACCUGGUGACCAUUGUGACUCUGUCCGGGGGAAAUGCACUCUCCUCAGAUCCUUACCUGUUGUCCAUAGCAGUGAUGGAUCUCAUGAUGAAUACAUAUACACUGGAUAUCACACGAUGUCUUGGUUUAUUUUCUAUUUAUUCUUCUGUCCAUUACUCCACAGAGACUGAGAUAACGGUCUGGGGACCUAGGUUUGAAACCCACCAUUCCAGAUGGUAGAAUUUGAGUUUAAACAAAAAAAUCUGAACUAAGAAUCUAAUGAUGACUGUAAAUCUGUUUUCAUUGUUGGAAAAACCUAUGUCUUUUAGGGAAGGAAACUGCCAUUCUUAUCCAGGGAUAUCAAGAUCCCAUGAAUGAAGUUUUAAAAAUUAAUUUAAAAAAAAAACUCCUGCAAAUACAUUUAUCUCUGUCUUAAUUUAUUUGACAACCAACAGUUCAAACUGGUUGAUGGUCACUUUCACUUUUGAUUAAGCUGUAGCCCUUGACUGACUGCUGGUAAUAACAAUGCUAAGCUGCCUGGCUUAUGCCUGUGAUAAACGCCAGGCAAGACAGGAGCACUGUGAGACAUUAGGUUCUAGUUGAGACUAUGAAGUGCAAAAAUGCCAGGGAAAGGCAGAGAUAUUGUGGCAGAACACGUCUCGGGUGCUGAAAAGCUUGUAGAGUUCUGACAGCAAGAAUGUACUUUGGACAGGCAAUUCUGCAUCUUGAUAUAGCAUUUUUGUUUAACUUCUAGCUCAUUUUGCUAGAUUUGCAAAUAUCUCUUGGUCUGGCUAAUGUGAGAGGUGGUAAUCUGAUUAACCUCACAGGAAUGGUGAAAAAUAAAGCAGUCACAUGCACACUUGUUUGGUUGCUGUUGUACUCAAAUGAAAAAUGUGCAUUUGUAUACACUGUAUCGUUUCCUGGCUCAGUGUUUCCAAAAUCUCUAGUUCAAUACGUCCCAAGUCGUCAUCAUCAGAGUCAAAACGAGUGAAUACUUCGAUAGCUUCAUCUUUUUUUUAAAUUCUGAAAUGCUAUUUGUAAUGAGGUAGUGUUGGCAGGCUAUUUUCUUUUACUUCUGAUGCCAUGUGUGGAUUUUCAGGGAUGGUGUUGGUGGGAAGAUGCGGCAUGUACCAGGGAUGAGGCACUAACAUUCAGAACAAGUGCUGAACAUGCAGAAAAGGAGAGAUUAACAGGUACCUUGGAACAAGCAUAGUUGGAGAAGGUUGGGUGAGAGGACUGAGAGAAAGCACUUUUGGUGUCAGCACCAGGACACGUGUUUGAUUCCAGCCUUGGGUGACUGACUGCCUGUGUGGAGUUUGCACAUUCUCCCUGUGUCUGUGCGUUUCCUCAGAGUGCUCCCACAGUCCAAAGAUGUGCAGGUUAGGUGGAUUAGCCAUGUUAAAUUGCCUGUAGUGUUUAGGGAGAGGUAGUUCAGGUGGGUUAUAGGCCUGGCUGCGAUGCUCUGAGGUUUGGUGUGGAUUUGUUGGGCUGAAGGGCUGUUAUGGUUCCAGAGUGUUGAGCAGAUGGACAAUCUGAGAUAACAGGCCAAGUAAAACUGAAGGAACAGGAAGUCUGAUGUCUCUGGUCGAGACACCCUCCUUCGAGUGUUGAUCAGGCUGUUUUUUAAACUUGGUUUAAUGAGAGUGCACCAUUCCUGGAAACACUGCAAUACCAGGAUGAUGCGUGGAGAGGAUGGAGCAAGCCCCUGUGCCAAUUCCUGCUCUAAAAAUCAGGUUAACACAGGGCCUUUAAGUAAAGGACAUGUCAGAUAUUAACGCUGAU